UUGCGGCGUGCUUAACACAUGCAAGUCGAACGGAAAGGCCCUGCUUUUGUGGGGUGCUCGAGUGGCGAACGGGUGAGUAACACGUGAGUAACCUGCCCUUGACUUUGGGAUAACUUCAGGAAACUGGGGCUAAUACCGGAUAGGAGCUCCUGCUGCAUGGUGGGGGUUGGAAAGUUUCGGCGGUUGGGGAUGGACUCGCGGCUUAUCAGCUUGUUGGUGGGGUAGUGGCUUACCAAGGCUUUGACGGGUAGCCGGCCUGAGAGGGUGACCGGCCACAUUGGGACUGAGAUACGGCCCAGACUCCUACGGGAGGCAGCAGUGGGGAAUAUUGCACAAUGGGCGGAAGCCUGAUGCAGCAACGCCGCGUGCGGGAUGACGGCCUUCGGGUUGUAAACCGCUUUCGCCUGUGACGAAGCGUGAGUGACGGUAAUGGGUAAAGAAGCACCGGCUAACUACGUGCCAGCAGCCGCGGUGAUACGUAGGGUGCGAGCGUUGUCCGGAUUUAUUGGGCGUAAAGGGCUCGUAGGUGGUUGAUCGCGUCGGAAGUGUAAUCUUGGGGCUUAACCCUGAGCGUGCUUUCGAUACGGGUUGACUUGAGGAAGGUAGGGGAGAAUGGAAUUCCUGGUGGAGCGGUGGAAUGCGCAGAUAUCAGGAGGAACACCAGUGGCGAAGGCGGUUCUCUGGGCCUUUCCUGACGCUGAGGAGCGAAAGCGUGGGGAGCGAACAGGCUUAGAUACCCUGGUAGUCCACGCUGUAAACGGUGGGUACUAGGUGUGGGGUCCAUUCCACGGGUUCCGUGCCGUAGCUAACGCUUUAAGUACCCCGCCUGGGGAGUACGGCCGCAAGGCUAAAACUCAAAGGAAUUGACGGGGCCCCGCACAAGCGGCGGAGCAUGCGGAUUAAUUCGAUGCAACGCGUAGAACCUUACCUGGGUUUGACAUGGAUCGGGAGUGCUCAGAGAUGGGUGUGCCUCUUUUGGGGUCGGUUCACAGGUGGUGCAUGGCUGUCGUCAGCUCGUGUCGUGAGAUGUUGGGUUAAGUCCCGCAACGAGCGCAACCCUUGUUCACUGUUGCCAGCACGUUAUGGUGGGGACUCAGUGGAGACCGCCGGGGUCAACUCGGAGGAAGGUGGGGAUGACGUCAAGUCAUCAUGCCCCUUAUGUCCAGGGCUUCACGCAUGCUACAAUGGCUGGUACAGAGAGUGGCGAGCCUGUGAGGGUGAGCGAAUCUCGGAAAGCCGGUCUCAGUUCGGAUUGGGGUCUGCAACUCGACCUCAUGAAGUCGGAGUCGCUAGUAAUCGCAGAUCAGCGACGCUGCGGUGAAUACGUUCCCGGGGCUUGUACACACCGCCCGUCAAGUCAUGAAAGUUGGUAACACCCGAAGCCGGUGGCCUAACCGUUGUGGGGGAGCCGUCGAAGGUGGGACUGGUGAUUAG
rnacentral:rRNA from 1 species